UGGGGAAUAUUGCACAAUGGGCGCAAGCCUGAUGCAGCCAUGCCGCGUGUGUGAAGAAGGCCUUCGGGUUGUAAAGCACUUUCAGCGAGGAGGAAGGUGGUGAGCUUAAUACGCUCAUCAAUUGACGUUACUCGCAGAAGAAGCACCGGCUAACUCCGUGCCAGCAGCCGCGGUAAUACGGAGGGUGCAAGCGUUAAUCGGAAUUACUGGGCGUAAAGCGCACGCAGGCGGUUUGUUAAGUCAGAUGUGAAAUCCCCGGGCUCAACCUGGGAACUGCAUUUGAAACUGGCAAGCUAGAGUCUCGUAGAGGGGGGUAGAAUUCCAGGUGUAGCGGUGAAAUGCGUAGAGAUCUGGAGGAAUACCGGUGGCGAAGGCGGCCCCCUGGACGAAGACUGACGCUCAGGUGCGAAAGCGUGGGGCAGCAAACAGGAUUAGAUACCCUGGUAGUCCACGCUGUAAACGAUGUCGAUUUUGGAGGUUGUGCCCUUGAGGCGUGGCUUCCGGAGCUAACGCGUUAAAUCGACCGCCUGGGGAGUACGGCCGCAAGGUUAAAACUCAAAUGAAUUGACGGGGUCAUAGCUG
rnacentral:rRNA from 1 species